UAUAUUUGUGAAAUUCAUUGUUAUUGGUCCCGGUCCUUCCUUCGUUUCUCAUUAAGGCCCACUGGUUGUUCCGUACAUUCCAUCUUAUCUUUUUUACUUCCAUAAAAAUUUGUUUUAAUUUUUAUAAGGUCUUGUUACAUAUAACUAUAGGUUUCCAUAAAAACCUUUCAACUAAAGCUUUCUCUUUACAACAAUUAGAGCUCCAUAUUGAAGCUCUAAUUAAGUUGAGCUUGAACCUUCAUCCUCAGUCAGCAACAUCAGCAGUGUACUGAAGAAUCUGCAGAAAGAAAAUUGAGAAGAAGGAAGAGUGAGACGGAGAAGGAGUAAAGAAGAAGAACAGGGAUGAAAGAAGAGCAUAGAGGUUACCUGAAUUUUUCCCGUCACCGGAGUCAUCACCUGAGCACCUUGUUGCUAUGAUUUGGGAUUUAGGAUUCUUCGAUCGGAUGCAUUCUUUGGUAUGAUUCAUGUUUUAUUAUUUGUUUCUAAGACCAUAAUCGUGUUUAGGAGACUAAAUUAAGUAUGGUUUGUGUUCA